UACGUAGGCAGCGAGCGUUGUUCGGAAUUACUGGGCGUAAAGAGUGUGUAGGCGGUGCUCUAAGUUCGGUGUGAAAUCUCCUGGCUCAACUGGGAGGGUGCGCCGGAAACUGGAGUGCUUGAGCGUGGGAGAGGAAAGCGGAAUUCCUGGUGUAGCGGUGAAAUGCGUAGAUAUCAGGAGGAACACCAGCGGCGAAGGCGGCGCUCUGGGCCGGAACUGACGCUGAGGAGCGAAAGCGUGGGUAGCAAACAGG
rnacentral:rRNA from 1 species